rnacentral:rRNA from 1 species
AACGUAGGACGCAAGCGUUAUCCGGAGUUACUGGGCGGAAAGCGCGGGCAGGCGGUUCUGCCAGUCUGAUGUGAAAUCUCCUCGCUCAACGGGGAGCAGCCAUUGGAAACUACAGAACUGGAGUCUGGCAGAGGUAGGCGGAAUUCCGGGUGGAGUGGUGAAAUGCGUAGAGAUCCGGAGGAACACCAGAGGCGAAGGCGGCCUACUGGGCCAGUACUGACGCUGAGCCGCGAAAGCCAGGGGAGCGAACGGG